CAAGCGUCUGGGGUAAGGAGUCGCUGCCACCAGCCCCACUGACGAGUCUAGGCGAAACGCUGC
rnacentral:hammerhead_ribozyme from 17 species